GUGAAUCAUCGAAUUUUUGAACGCACAUUGCACUCUCUGGUAUUCCGGAGAGUAUGCCUGUUUGAGGGUAAUUAAAAAUAAUCUUCAACCAAUUUUAUUUGGUCACAGGAAAUGAGUUCUCCGCGUUUAUAGCGGUAGCUUGAAAUAAAUGGUCAAGUAUCAUUUUAGUCGAGACGCGUAAUACUAUUGUUUCGCGAAGUCUUAAUUAGGUGACUAUCAAGUUUUUAUGCAUACAAAUUCGCUUUGUAUGCGAUCAAUA
rnacentral:misc_RNA from 1 species